UACGUAGGGAGCAAGCGUUGUUCGGAAUUAUUGGGCGUAAAGAGCGCGUAGGCGGCUUGGCAAGUCCGUUGUGAAAUCCCAUAGCUUAACUGUGGAACUGCGACGGAAACUGCCUCGCUAGAGUGCGGGAGAGGAGAGUGGAAUUCCCAGUGUAGAGGUGAAAUUCGUAGAUACUGGGAGGAACACCGGUGGCGAAGGCGGCUCUCUGGACCGCAACUGACGCUGAGGCGCGAAAGCUAGGGGAGCAAACGGGAUUAGAUACCCCCGUA
rnacentral:rRNA from 1 species